AUUGAACGCUGGCGGCAUGCCUUACACAUGCAAGUCGAACGGCAGCACGGGAGCAAUCCUGGUGGCGAGUGGCGAACGGGUGAGUAAAGUAUCGGAACGUGCCCAGUCGUGGGGGAUAACGUAGCGACAGCUACGCUAAUACCGCAUCCGAUCUAUGGAUGAAAGCGGGGGAUCGCAAUGCCUCGCGCGAUUGGAGCGGCCGAUUUCAGAUGAGGUAGUAGGGGGGGUAAAGGCCCACCAAGCCGACGAUCUGUAGCUGGUAUGAGAGGACGACAAGCCACACUGGGACUGAGACACGGCCCAGACGCCUACGGGGGGAAGCAGUGGGGAAUUUUGGACAAUGGGCGCAAGCCUGAUCCAGCAAUGCCGCGUGCAGGAUGAAGGCCUUCGGGUUGUAAACUGCUUUUGUACGGAACGAAAAGGCUCUCACUAAUACUGGGGGCUCAUGACGGUACCGUAAGAAUAAGCACCGGCUAACUACGUGCCAGCAGCCGCCGUAA
rnacentral:rRNA from 1 species